GGUUGUGACUCUGACAGCUCUGAGAGCAUAGGGACACCAAGAUGCCACUCUGGUAUCUCAGGUACCAGGAGCUUUGCAGCUUCAACAAAGGCAAAUUCCAAGAGUAAAAAUGAUUAAUUAGAAAGAAGAGAAGGAAAAAAGAAGAGGAGGAAGAAGAGGAAGAGGAGGAAGAGGAAGAGGAGGAGGAGGAAGAGGAGACUAAGCAACCCUGCAAUUCCACCCCUGAGGAUAUGUCCCAAGAGAAACUGAAGCUCAUAAAGCCCACACCAAGACUCUAUUGGAACACUUAGAGCAACACUAGUCCCCUGACUAGAAGCUGUCCAGCCACUUAACAGGAAGACAAAAAGCAUCAUAGUCCCACACAAAAAGUGUGGGAAACUAAGAACCAAUGGGAAGUAAGAAAUGAUAGCGACUUCCCUAUCAUUCUGAUCCCAAGCUUCUACCGAGCAUCAUUCAAAGUUCUGGAAGAGGCUAUUGGUGGAGAGGCUAGAAACUGUUGGUAUUGGAAGCCACUGUUAGGAAACAGAGACAGUGGAGAGUGACUGCUGAGAUGAGUCUCAAAUUUGAAGGUAGGAUGCCUGAGUCCAGAGAUGUCAAACAUCCACUGUUUAGGAUACUGUUCCAGCCUCUCUUUCCACAAGGGAUGCAAGGGAUCAGUAGUUCAAACCCAUGCUUGGCUACACAGUAAUUAAAAGCCAGCCAGGGCUACAAGAGACCCUAUCUCAAAAAGUCAGAUAAAAAUAAAUAAUACUGAAGUCAAUAA